AAAAAGUUGACUUAAUACUUUAAACAAAAAGAUUUGGCUUGCAUUCAAAAAUUAGAUUAUUUCAAUCUUU
rnacentral:tRNA from 1 species